CGGGGUGAGUAACGUGUGGGCAACCUGCCCUGCACUGGGGAAUAAUCAUUGGAAACGAUGACUAAUACCGCAUACGGUUCCUGGGAGGCAUCUUCUGGGAAAGAAAGGAUUUAUUCGGUGCAGGAUGGGCCCGCAUCUGAUUAGCUAGUUGGUGAGAUAACAGCCCACCAAGGCGACGAUCAGUAGCCGACCUGAGAGGGUGACCGGCCACAUUGGGACUGAGACACGGCCCAAACUCCUACGGGAGGCAGCAG
rnacentral:rRNA from 1 species